UACGGAGGAUGCAAGCGUUAUCCGGGAUUCAUUGGGUUUAAAGAGUGCGUAGGCGGACUAUUAAGUCAGUGGUGAAAGCCUGCAGCUUAACUGCAGAACUGCCAUUGAUACUGAUAGUCUUGAGUUUGGUUAAGGUAGGCGGAAUGUGUAAUGUAGCGGUGAAAUGCUUAGAUAUUACACAGAACACCAAUUGCGUAGGCAGCUUACUGAGCCGACACUGACGCUGAGGCACGAAAGCGUGGGGGAUCGAA
rnacentral:rRNA from 1 species